ACGACGGGUAGCCGGCCUGAGAGGGUGACCGGGCCACACUGGGACUGAGACACGGCCCAGACUCCUACGGGAGGCAGCAGUGGGGAAUUUUGGACAAUGGGGGGAACCCUGAUCCAGCCAUCCCGCGUGUGCGAUGAAGGCCUUCGGGUUGUAAAGCACUUUUGGCAGGAAAGAAACGUCGCGGGUUAAUACCUCGCGGAACUGACGGUACCUGCAGAAUAAGCACCGGCUAACUACGUGCCAGCAGCCGCGGUAAUACGUAGGGUGCAAGCGUUAAUCGGAAUUACUGGGCGUAAAGCGUGCGCAGGCGGUUCGGAAUGAAAGAUGUGAAAUCCCAGAGCUUAACUUUGGAACUGCAUUUUUAACUACCGGGCUAGAGUGUGUCAGAGGGAGGUGGAAUUCCGCGUGUAGCAGUGAAAUGCGUAGAUAUGCGGAGGAACACCGAUGGCGAAGGCAGCCUCCUGGGAUAACACUGACGCUCAUGCACGAAAGCGUGGGGAGCAAACAGGAUUAGAUAC
rnacentral:rRNA from 1 species